AGGAAGGGGUGGAAUACUCUGUGAUUGAGGUCACAAAAAGCAAGAUUCUAGUGGGCUGGAGUUAUAUUGUUCAGAACUUUAUAUUCCAAAUAGAAUAUUUAGAAUUUUAUCUAAGAAACAAUGUGGAGUCACUGAAGAUCAUUGAAUAAGAGAAAGGCAGACAGAUUUCUGCUUUGGAAACUCAUUUUGGAAGCUAUGUGCAGAACAGUUUGGUAUAGAGUAGUGAUGGUGAACCUAUGGCACAGGUGCCAAAGAUGGCAAAAGUUCUCUCUUGGCCACACUCCCUUUCUUCCCGCAACUCAGAGUUUGUUACUAAAAAGGCAAGGGGACUCAGUGAUCAUGGUGAAUAGAGGUCUUUAGGAUUUAAAUGAGAUCUUCAAGCUACUGCUGAGCAUAGAAGAGAAUUCCACUGGUCCAUGGAAAAUUGCAGUCUCCUCUCCUUUUAGAACAUUUAUGAAAUGCUGCUGUCUGCCACAUUC
rnacentral:lncRNA from 1 species